rnacentral:rRNA from 1 species
GAUCAUUACUGAGUUACCGCUCUAUAACCCUUUGUGAACAUACCUAACCGUUGCUUCGGCGGGCAGGGGAAGCCUCUCGCGGGCCUCCCCUCCCGGCGCCGGCCCCACCACGGGGACGGGGCGCCCGCCGGAGGAAACCAAACUCUAUUUACACGACGUCUCUUCUGAGUGGCACAAGCAAAUAAUUAAAACUUUUAACAACGGAUCUCUUGGUUCUGGCAUCGAUGAAGAACGCAGCGAAAUGCGAUAAGUAAUGUGAAUUGCAGAAUUCAGUGAAUCAUCGAAUCUUUGAACGCACAUUGCGCUCGCCAGCAUUCUGGCGAGCAUGCCUGUUCGAGCGUCAUUUCAACCCUCAAGCACCGCUUGGUUUUGGGGCCCCACGGCACACGUGGGCCCUUAAAGGUAGUGGCGGACCCUCCCGGAGCCUCCUUUGCGUAGUAACUAACGUCUCGCACUGGGAUUCGGAGGGACUCUUGCCGUAAAACCCCCCAAUUUUUUACAGGUUGACCUCGGAUCAGGUAGGAAUACCCGCUGA